AGUGUAAGGCCUGAGUGGACGCUCGAAGCGGAGCGUUCGGCGGGGCGUGCAGCGUGGCGUCGGGCUCACAAGUGAUUUGAGCAGCGUGCACUAAGGCCGCUACUAUACGUUGGCAUUUGUUUAACAUGCACGCCGCACGCCCCGCCCCGCUGCACGCCCAACUCGAGCGUCCACUCAAGCCUUACACUAAGGUGAGAUUUUUAUGUGUAAGACAAAAAUUACUUCCCUAUUAAUCCAUGACAAUAUUUGGUAGGGUAGUUACUGUCUAGGACCAACUCUUACAAGCUACUCGCGAAUAUUUCGCAUUUUCCUCUAGCUAUACCAAAAACUUCAACCCAUUAUGAUUCAAGCCUUACUUUGCUUCUUUCAAAUUGUUAUAACUUAGUUGUUGCAGUUACCAAAUAAAAUAAGUACACUUGAAACAA